rnacentral:rRNA from 1 species
UACGUAGGGGGGCAAGCGUUUGUCCGGAUUUAUUGGGCGUAAAGAGCGUGUAGGCGGCUUUUGCAGGUCCGCUGUGAAAACUCGAGGCUCAAACCCUCGAGCUGUCGGUGGAAACCGUAAAGCUAGAGUCCGGAAGAGGAGAGUGGAAUUCCCGGUGUAGCGGUGAAAUGACGCAGAUAUCGGGAAGAACACCCGUGGCGAAGGCGGCUCUCUGGGACGGUACUGACGCUGAGACGCGAAAGCGUGGGGAGCGAACGAGG